rnacentral:rRNA from 1 species
UACGGGGGGAGCAAGCGUUGUUCGGAUUUACUGGGCGUAAAGGGCGCGUAGGCGGUCAGCACAAGUCAGUUGUGAAAUCUCCGGGCUUAACUCGGAAAGGUCAACUGAUACUGUGCGACUGAGAGUGCGGGAAGGGGCAACUGGAAUUCCUGGUGUAGCGGUGAAAAUGCGCAGAUAUCAGGAGGAACACCGAUGGCGAAGGCAGGUCUCUGGGCAUUAACUGACGCUGAGGAGCGAAAGCAUGGGGAGCGAACAGG